CAAACAUACAAAAUUUGGUAAAUGUUUUUCUAAAUAAUGUAUAUAAAACCGCGCCUGAAAAGAGAACAUUAAAUUUAAGUGAAUAGAAGAAAUUAAUUUAUCAUAUUUGUAGGAAAAGAGACCUGUCCAUAAUUGUCGCAUCAUUUGUAUUGUGAAAAGGCUACUGUGCAUGUACUCAAUAUUCCUGUUAUAUUUCCAGGCAGCUCAGUUCUAUGUGCCCCUUGUUCACACUGAACUCUAUACUCUGUAUAGGGUUCAGUGAUUGUAAAUAAUGUUCCAGAGAAAUGGAAUCCAAGAACUGAUCUUUGCGGAACUUCGAUUGUCAUCAUUCUAUACAUAGAUUUGCCAAAGAGAAGCAUCCUGACAUUGAGUUACUUUGUUUAACUUGUAACUUAUUUAAUACAGUUAUCCAG